CACGCAGGCGGUUAUGUAAGUCGGACGUGAAAGCUCCUGGCUCGACUGGGAGAGGCCGUUCGAUACUGCGUAACUUGAGGUUGGGAGAGGGGAGUGGAAUUCCCGGUGUAGUGGUGGAAUGCGUAGAUAUCGGGAGGAACACCAGUGGCGAAAGCGACUCCCUGGCCCACACCUGACGCUCAGGUGCGAAAGCGUGGGUAGCGAACG
rnacentral:rRNA from 1 species